AGCAAGCAAAUAAAGAACUUUAAAAAGUAUAUAGAAUGUUAGUAAACAUGUCACACAGUUGCUUUGAUGGUUAUUGAAUUUCUAUUAUAAAAUCUGAAUUUCUUAUACCGGAAGCAUGUUUUCAAUGUACAGGCACAAGUGUUGUGGAAAUUUACCCCCCCAAAAAAACAGCAUAUUCAGUGUGGGAUUUCUGGCUAACAGUUGCACAAAGACAGCUAAAAAUCAGUAAGCAGGUACUUUUAGUCCUAAGAAAUUGUAUGUCGAUGGAUGUACGAAUAUUUGAUGCUAUCAAGUGAUUUAUUUGAGUAUGCCAGAUUGGGUGCAGGUGCAGUAACCAGUUAAUGCUGCUGAUUAGGCUAGCUAUUUUCUGUUUUGUUCAUGUGCUCAGGUUGCAUAAUAUACCAAGGAUACUUUGUUGUACCGUUUCUGGAAAAGGGGGUUGGACGGGGUAUGCAGAAGGGGUACUGACUUUAUGCACUGCAUGCCACUGAAACUUUACUAUUAGCAGUUACCAUAAUAGCAACCAGGCAGUUGGUCAUUCAAAGCAGGGAGAGCUAGGACAAGACUAAGCUGAACUGUGGCCUGCAGCAGCAACAACAACAUGUCACAAUGUGUGACUGAGUACACAUACCAGCAUGUUUCAGUAAUACAAGCAGGGGGGGCUACAGGAGAUCAGAAGAAUAUAGCUUUUGAGUACUGAAUAGCAAGGAGUUUUUACGUGGGAGUUCCAGAUCACAGAAGAGCAUGACUGGCUGUGGUAAUUGAGGCAGCCAUUAGACAGUGUAUUUCAAUAUAAUAAACAAUUAACCUCAAUGUAUUACUCAAUAAUGAAAAUAAGUCCAAAUGUGCACUUAACUGAGUAAAAAUAAGAUCCACCCCACAUCUGUUCUACACUAUAAUGUCAGGGUUUGGUUAGAAGUGUGUUGUGUGGUGAAACCAUUAACAUUUCCAAAUAUGGUAAAAUCCUGUCUCACCUCAGUGAGAUCAAUUCAACAAAUAAGUCAAACACAGUGUGGCCUCCACUUGACCACAAUGUCUUCCUGUUUGACAGCAGAUCUCUAAUCUGUCUGAACAAUGCACCAUAUUACUUUAUUUAUUUAUUUACACAGACUUGAUUUACUGAAAUCAUCUAAAAAUCUGAAGGAAAUAAAAAUGAUCAUGGGCAAAGUUAUUAUUAUAUACAAUUACAAUGAAUGGGCUAGAGUGAAUUUCAUUUGAAAUAUUUUGGAUCUAUGGGAUGGAGAGCCAAUUAAACAUUAUAACAUUGAGCCUUAAAUGUGACAGAAUCCAGCAUUCUUCUAGUACCUUGAAAGCCACCAUUUCUGAAUGAAAAUUUCUUUUUGUGCCUCAUGGAACUUUUACAGUUAGGGUUUGUACUAAGAAAGUCAUCAAGUCUGAAUGUGGAACCAAACUAAUGCAAUUUCCUCCUAACACCCCAGUAAUAUGUUCUCAUUAAUGCAGCCUUAAUAGGCAUGACUAAAAAGAGACAACAACACAAGCUAUGUGACUUUGCCAAACAGUAUGGCAGUUGCAAAGCUGAUAAAUGGCUGAUUACAGUACAGCUAUUAUAAAACUGCUGCAAGCUGCAGCAGGUUACCAGGCAAGAUUUAGUUCUGGUUCCUCCCUAAACAUAGAAGUUGACCAAAAUGUGGCCAGCCUGGUUAUCAUCAAAGAGCUCUUAUUCACACUAAUGAAAAAUCAAAAUACAGGAAACAAGCCUCAAGCAAAAAUUCAGGUAGAAAAUGUUAUGCUCUUUCAUCAGUGUGAAUGAAUUGAAUGUAAAUGCUGAUUUCUAUCUGUAAAGCAUAUUGGGUUUGAAAAAGGUGCUAUAUAAAUGUAACUAUUAAUUAAUAAACUCUAUCAAGGAAUUAAAAACAUCCAAUAAUAGUGGUACCAUGAGACAAUUUCUUUAAAAAGCACUAUAUUGAACACUGGAAUUUUGCAUUUAUUUGCAAUAAUAAUGCAGUAACUUACUGUGGAAAAGUAGUCAAUGGUAAGGAUGUUAACAAAAAUAAUGUCCAUGGGUUAAGAUUUUAAUAUAACAACAGAAUUUUAAUACAUCUAAUAAUUGAAAUAGUUUCCACCAGGAAAUGUGUGUUAACAUGCAGCACUGAAAAAUCCAAAAUUAAGUUAAAGCACAUUAGUUUUAUUCCUAAAAUUAGAGUCAAUGUCACAGAAAAGAAAACAAAACUAAACAGUGAAAAUAAACAGUGGUUAGGUUGCAGCAUGAAAAUGCAUAUUUGUGCUCAGCAGGUGACUGAGACACGGUCAAAGCAUGUGUUCCCACCUCACACAACCACACAUGCACCUCAUGGCUUAUAUGUAAAUACCAAGUCUAUAUUUUAAAUCCACAAAAUAAGCCCUCAAGUAUUUCAGAUUGAAUAUGACCACACCCAGACAGACCAUGUCAAUGGAGGAAGCCCAGGUCACCCAGCUGGUCUUCUGAGUCAGUAUAAACCUGAUGCUGAAAAGCUGUCAUGAACUCCCCGAUUCCCCGAAACAUAAUAAAGCUGAAAAAUGCCCAUGCCCAAAAGGACCAACUCACCCCUGCCAACAGAAGCCCAGCUGACAUACCCUGCUCCAGGCUUGGCAUUUGUGUGGAACACUGAGUGGGUCACCCUUGUGCUUCCACUGAAAAAGGGGCAAGUUGUUGCAGGCAGCACUCAUUCCAGAUCAGACUCCAACAACGCGAGUGCAGUCUUGUUCUCUUUCUGCUAUGCAUAUUGCUAUGAUAACAUGUCACCCCAGGCCCUCUGAGAAAGCCUUCUUCUGAUGAUGCUGGGAUGGAUAUACAGCUAGAUAUACUCAGGCUCUGAAAUUGAGGGAAAAGAUUUUAAAAAGGUUCCCAUUGUCACUCACUGUAGUGUUGGAAUUGGAACACGUUUUUGGAGAAGAAGAAUCUGUGGAAGCACCAAAAACAAUGGCACAGCAUAUUACAAAGAGGAGUCCUGCAAGGAAGUGGUUGCGAUCAAGUCAUAACGUGCUUUCCCAUAAUGAGAAGGGUUCGCCUCUCUGGAACAUUACAGGCUAAGAAACGGACAGAUCCACAGUCUACUCAAAUGGGGGCAAAGUCAGGGAACUGUUGUAAAAUGUUGUAAACCUCCCUUCUACAAUAAAUAUUUAUUUGUAGAUAUAAUGUAUGAUGCAGUAACAAAAUCUUGCAAAAUCUUUAGAAAGUCCUGUCGCAUGGGACUGAAAAAGAAUGCUUUAACUUUUUACACCUUCAGGCUAAUAUUUCACCACCAUUCCAGUAGAAAACAUAUAUGCAAAAGACCUCUACCUAACCAAAAAGCAGCACUGUGCAAUAUUGAGACCAAAUAAAAAACAAACACACAAAUUACAUAUUUUACAUAAUUAAAAAGUACUGUAGAAAAAUGUAUUUAUUCUGACAUGACAAAGAACUAAGAGCUCAUUAGCAAUUUCUGAAAUAAAACUGAAGAGAGAGCAGAGCCAUUUUAAAAUAAAUAUUUUAGGUACUUUCUCUGCUUCUUGCUGAGCCUUGACUUGCUCUGCUCAAAACCAUGCUGUUUUUCUCAAUUACAGCCUUGCAGAGGAAAGGAAACAAAGACCCAGGAAUGCAGAGCCCUGCAUCAAAGAACCAAAUAUAAUAAGCUUCCUAAUAAACAACCUAUAUUAACCCAUUCUGCCUUCUCAAUGAUCAAUUUCUCAAUUGUUGCCUAAUGUUUUGUAAACAGGUUACAAAAUUCAUGGCUAAAAAUGUGAAAUUGCUUUAGAGGGUACUUUUAAUAUGGUGAGUCUGGCAAUCUCACCAUAACUACUUUAACUUUGUAAUGCAUUCUGAUUUAAAAAACAAAAAACAAAAACAAAACACAUCUCAUUUAAACUGUGAAUAACCUUUAUGAGGAAAAAAUACAAGCAGUAAACUGCUUCCAUUUCCCCUGCACUGAUUGGAGAGAGGAUAACAGAAGCCUUUCCAGUUCCUGAGAGAGCCACGACCACUACAGGUCACAUGCUUCAUCUGACCAAAUGGAGCAAAACAGAGAACUGUUCAUUCCUCUCCUUCACAGAUGUGUAGUUGUGUACAGGAACUGUUUACAGGAAGAGACCAGGGGCCUUUUGUAUUUGCAGCUUCUAUAAAAGGAAAUUCUGAACAAGGCUUCCUGGAGCGAGAAAAGCCGUCCUCCACUUCUUUUUUAUUGGAGAGUGUAGACAAGAGGCCUCACUUUGGGUCAGACAAGAAAAGACAUAGCUGGUCCUAAAGCCUUAGAACAGGGCUUCCCUCAGAUGGGGGAAAAGAUGUAAAGACAGAGGUGUAGUUUGCCUACGAAUUGUUCAGCAUGCAGACGUGUAGCCUCCUCCAAGUGUGUCACGGAACACUCACCUCCGCGAGUCACGUGGUUUGGCCCACCACGUGCAGUGAGAGGAUCUUGUUCGUAACUACACCUGCACACACCUAUAU